CAGUCGCCGCGGUAAUACGAAGGGUGCAAGCGUUACUCGGUAUUACUGGGCGUAAAGCGUGCGUAGGUGGUUGUUUAAGUCUGCUGUGAAAGCCCUGGGCUCAACCUGGGAAUUGCAGUGGAUACUGGGCAACUAGAGUAAGGUAGAGGAUAGUGGAAUUUCCGGUGUAGCAGUGAAAUGCGUAGAGAUCGGAAGGAACAUCUGUGGCGAAGGCGACUAUCUGGGCCAUUACUGACACUGAGGCACGAAAGCGUGGGGAGCAAACAGGAUUAGAUACCCCUGUAGUCCCUGUCUCUUAUAC
rnacentral:rRNA from 1 species